rnacentral:rRNA from 1 species
GCAGCAGCCGCGGUAAUACGGAGGGUGCAAGCGUUAAUCGGAAUUACUGGGCGUAAAGCGCACGCAGGCGGUCUGACAAGUCAGAUGUGAAAUCCCCGGGCUUAACCUGGGAACUGCAUUUGAAACUGUCAGGCUGGAGUCUUGUAGAGGGGGGUGGAAUUCCAGGUGUAGCUGUGAAAUGCGUAGAGAUCUGGAGGAAUACCGGUGGCGAAGGCGGCCCCCUGGACAAAGACUGACGCUCAGGUGCGAAAGCGUGGGGAGCAAACAGGAUUAGAUACCCCUGUAGUCCCUGUCUCUUAUAC